GGGCGCGUAGCUCAGUGGGAGAGCACUACGUUGACAUCGUAGGGGUCGCUGGUUCAAUCCCAGCGCGCCCACCA
rnacentral:tRNA from 1 species